UACGUAGGGGGCGAGCGUUGUCCGAAGUUACUGGGCGUAAAGCGCGCGUAGGCGGUCAUUUAAGUCUGAGGUGAAAGGUUCAGCGCUCAACGUGAACAGUGCCUUGGAUACUGGGUGACUUGAGUUCGGGAGGGGGCAGUGGAAUUCCAGGUGUAGCGGUGAAAUGCGUAGAUAUCUGGAGGAACACCGAUGGCGAAGGCAGCUGCCUGGCCCAGAACUGACGCUGAGACGCGAAAGCGUGGGGAGCAAACAGG
rnacentral:rRNA from 1 species